UCUCAAGAAAUAGGAAGAUAAAACUGCAUUAAGACAAUGACCCAACAGCAUCAACAUAAUGAACUCAAUUUGUCUAUAAACAAAGUGUUGGAAAACAAAAAGAAUACACAUAAAAUUUCUAUUUAGUUGUUGAGAAAAUUGAGGAAAAAUAAGACAGCAUUUGAAUCGAGAAAACCAAGUUCCAAUCAUUGGAAGGGAAAAAUUUUUUAUAUUCUGAGUUUAUCAUCAACCAUCAAAGGGAUUUGCUCCCCCCUCAAUGUUCUCCAAUCUUGCCCCAGUUUCCUUGCAAUCAACAAAAAGUGUCAUAUAUGAUGCAUAGGAUAAUAAUAAUAACAAAUUCAAGAAAGAACAAGAAUUGAUCCGUUAUUUGUUUUG
rnacentral:misc_RNA from 1 species